GGGGAUUUAGCUCAGUGGUAGAGCGCUUGCCUAGCAAGCACAAGGCCCUGGGUUCGGUCCCCAGCUUCG
rfam:Rattus norvegicus chromosome 9, whole genome shotgun sequence.